GCUGUAGCUGAGUGGCUGAGCAUCUGCUUUGCAUGCAGAAGGUCCCUGGUUCAAUCCCCAGUGGCAUCUCCA